AUACUUACCUGGCAGGGGAGAUACCAUGAUCAAGAAGGCGGUUCGCCCAGGGCGACGCUCAGCCAUUGCACUCCGCUUGUGUUGACCCCUGCAAAUUCCCCAAAUGUGGGAAUCUUUGUUAAAAUAAUUUAGAUCUGGAGGAAGGAGAUUGGAGUCAGCUCAAAAUCCAA